rnacentral:rRNA from 1 species
UACGGAGGGUGCAAGCGUUAUCCGGAUUUACUGGGUUAAAGGGUGCGUAGGUGGGCCCGAUAGUCAGUGGUGAAAUACUCUCGCUCACGAGGGAACUGCCAUUGAUACUCGGAUCUUGAAUGCAGUGGAGCGGGCGGAAUGUGUCAUGUAGUGGUGAAAUACUUAGAUAUGACACAGAACACCCAUUGCGAAGGCAGCUCGCUACACUGAUAUUGACGACUGAGGCACGAAAGCGUGGGGAGCAAACAGG